GUGUCAGCCGCCGCGGUAAUACGUAGGUGGCAAGCGUUGUCCGGAAUUAUUGGGCGUAAAGCGCGCGCAGGCGGUUUCUUAAGUCUGAUGUGAAAGCCCACGGCUUAACCGUGGAGGGUCAUUGGAAACUGGGGGACUUGAGUGCAGAAGAGGAGAGUGGAAUUCCAAGUGUAGCGGUGAACUGCGUUGAGAUUUGGAGGAACACCGGUGGCGAAGGAGGCUUUCUGGUCUGCAACU
rnacentral:rRNA from 1 species